rnacentral:rRNA from 1 species
AGCGAACGCUGGCGGCGUGCCUAACACAUGCAAGUCGAACGUGAAAAGGGGGCAACCCCUGAGUAAAGUGGCGCACGGGUGAGUAACACGUAGGUAAUCUACCUUAGAGACUGGAAUAACCUGCCGAAAGGCGGGCUAAUACUGGAUAGAGCGACGGGACCUGUAAAGGGUCUUUCGGGAAAGGAUGCGCAAGCAUUCACUCUAAGAUGAGCCUGCGUCCCAUUGGCUAGUUGGUGAGGUAACGGCUCACCAAGGCGAUGAUGGGUAGCUGGUCUGAGAGGAUGAUCAGCCACACUGGAACUGAAACACGGUCCAGACUCCUACGGGAGGCAGCAGUGGGGAAUCUUGCGCAAUGGGCGAAAGCCUGACGCAGCCACGCCGCGUGAGUGAAGAAGGCCUUCGGGUUGUAAAGCUCUGUCGGAAGGGACGAAAACUGAGGGGUCUAAUAGGCCCUUUACUUGACGGUACCUUUAAAGGAAGCACCGGCUAACUCCGUGCCAGCAGCCGCCGUAACAC